CGCUGGCGGCGCGCUUAACACAUGCAAGNCGAACGUGAAGCCCGGGCUUGCCCGGGUGGAAAGUGGCGAACGGGUGCGUAACACGUGAGCAACCUGCCCCGAAGACCGGGAUAACACCGGGAAACCGGUGCUAAUACCGGAUGCCCUCAUCAUGUCGCAUGGCGAGAUGAGGAAAUGGAUUCCGCUUCGGGAUGGGCUCGCGGCCUAUCAGCUUGUUGGUGAGGUAAUGGCUCACCAAGGCUACGACGGGUAGCUGGUCUGAGAGGAUGUCCAGCCACACUGGGACUGAGACACGGCCCAGACUCCUACGGGAGGCAGCAGUGGGGAAUCUUGCACAAUGGGCGAAAGCCUGAUGCAGCGACGCCGCGUGCGGGAUGACGGCCUUCGGGUUGUAAACCGCUUUCAGCAGGGACGAUUGUGACGGUACCUGCAGAAGAAGCCCCGGCCAACUACGUGCCAGCAGCCGCGGUAAUACGUAGGGGGCAAGCGUUGUCCGGAUUUAUUGGGCGUAAAGAGCUCGUAGGCGUUUUGGUAAGUCAGGUGUGAAAUCUCCACGCUCAACGUGGAGGGGCCACCUGAUACUGCCAUGACUGGAGUCCGGUAGAGGAGUGUGGAAUUCCCGGUGUAGCGGUGAAA
rnacentral:rRNA from 1 species